rnacentral:tRNA from 1 species
GUCACUUUGCCGGAGUGGUUAACGGGAUCGCCUGCUAUGCAAGUAGCUGAACAGCGGUUGGGCUUUGCCCGCGAGUGUUCGAAUCGCUCAGGUGACG